AGGAUGUUGGCUCAGAAGCAGCCACCAUUUAAAGAGUGCGUAAUAGCUCACUAGUCGAGUGAUCCUGCGCCGAAAAUGUACCGGGGCUAAGCAUACUACCGAAACCAUGGAUGCGACCAUUAGGUCGCGUGAUAGGAGAGCGUUCUAAGGGCGGUGAAGCAAGAUCGUGAGGACUUGUGGAGCGCUUAGAAGUGAGAAUGCCGGUAUGAGUAGCGAAAGAUAGGUGAGAAUCCUAUCCACCGAAUGACUAAGGUUUCCUGGGGAAGGCUCGUCCUCCCAGGGUUAGUCGGGACCUAAGUCGAGGCCGAGAGGCGUAGACGAUGGAUAACAGGUUGAGAUUCCUGUACUAGUUAAGUGCGUUUGAGCAAUGGAGGGACGCAGGAGGCUAAGAUGUGCAUUCUGUUGGAUUAGAAUGUCCAAGCAGUAAGUCUUGUGAAGAGUCAAAUGCUUUUCACUUUAAGGACAAGCUGUGAUGGGGAGCGAAAUUUAGUAGCGAAGCGUCUGAUGUCACACUGCCGAGAAAAGCUUCUAGUGAGUACUUAACUACCCGUACCGCAAACCGACACAGGUAGUCGAGGAGAGAAUCCUAAGGUGAGCGAGUGAACUCUCGUUAAGGAACUCGGCAAAAUGACCCCGUAACUUCGGGAGAAGGGGUGCUGAUCGCAAGAUCAGCCGCAGUGAAUAGGCCCAGGCGACUGUUUAUCAAAAACACAGGUCUCUGCAAAAUCGUAAGAUGACGUAUAGGGGCUGACGCCUGCCCGGUGCUGGAAGGUUAAAAGGAUGGGUUAGCUUCGGCGAAGCUCAGAAUUGAAGCCCCAGUAAACGGCGGCCGUAACUAUAACGGUCC
rnacentral:rRNA from 1 species